GGACAUUUAGCUCAGCCGGUAGAGCGUCUGCUUUACACGCAGAAUGUCGGGGGUUCGAGUCCCUCAAUGUCCACCA
rnacentral:tRNA from 1 species